CAUUUCAGUAGGCCACAGUGGAACGUUGACUCUUGUCCAGGUUCAAUAUUUUCUGCUACAACCGAUCCCCUUCCCACUAUGAUACCACCUUCAAGCGCCAUCUGUAAUGAGGUAACCCAGCUUACAGAUGUGGAACUCAGCACCUUCAACGCCUGUAUUGGUGACAUGGCCCCUCUCGGGUACCCAGAGAACUCCAUGGCUGCUCUUGAGAGGGUCUGUGGUGAAUAUGUCUUUCAACAACAACAGUCGGCACAGCCUCUAGAGCCCCAGCAGGUUGAGGUGCAUCUGGAAACGUUUCAUCAAGUGCCGCAGCAGGAGGCCCGGGUCCUACAUCCCCAACAACCAGCAUCUCAAGUGCCUGAAACGCCACAGCAGACCGUUGAUAUACAAGGGUUCAACGUGUGCAAACCCAAGCCAGUGACAUCUUUACAGUCGCAAAGGACAUUGUUCCCCACACCACCACAAUCCGAAGCAGCUGUCACCUAUGAAGAAUCCGUGCCUGGUCCCAGCCGAUAUAACCUGUACAGCGACGGGGCUACCGUGUCGUCCAUUGCGAUGAUAAUCCCUGUGAUGAAACAGUUGAUUAUAUGCGCCACGUGUAAAAAGAAGUUCAACAGAGCGUUCAUCUGUAACAACUACUUGAUUCAGCUGAACAGACCCGUGCAAUGUGCUUGGGGCUGUGUAUUGUGCAGACUGUGUUACAGUGAACAAAGUGGUUGUCGCCUUCACAAUAUAUCGUCCACAAGGGCCGCUCUAAGCACCACAGCCAACACCCUUGCCAAUUUCCUGCUCUGGAGAAUGUAGGAGACUGGGAUCUGGAACUCAACAUAGAUGAUAAGUUCAAGACUGACAAGGAGGUCAACGUCCAUGUGCAGCUGAUUAUGAAUGAGGAGCAAUCGUCUGGAGUUGACACCCUGCGAAGAGCGUUCAACCAUCUCAUCACAGUGAAUGACACCAUGUCCUUCAGGUACUGGGUAAGCAAAGCAAUGCCAGAAGAGGUGGCCUACAGAUAUGUCUGCAUCCCUCAUGUACCUGGGUUCUGGGAUCAGGUUGUGGUGGGAACCCGUCCCCUUCCCAGAACGGAGAAGCUGAUCGGACCUGAUGACUCCUUACCGAGAUUGUUCAAUGUGUCACUUGGGUCCUACAGGUUUCAUUGGUGCUGUUUUGUCUUGAAGAAACAGAUCAUUUUGACUAUGUGGUGCACUUUGUUGCCCAGGAGAGGGCAGUCUAAGGUCGUCACAGUUGUUGACAACACACUGAGAAACCUCACCUCGAGCAUAGAGUUUAGAAGAAUGGUAUUCUAUCUUUGUAGGUAGUUUACAGCUCAGUAUGUCACCACAAGACAGGCGGCUUAACCUUGUGUUAGAUUGUAAACCCAGUGAAGGUGAUACUUUGGUCCAUGUCAUAGCUUUGUUGGCCACCAGGAUUGGGAUGGAAACAGUAACACCUCACCUGGCCCAGCAACGGGCCAAAGAUGAUAGUAAUUACUGUUUCAAUGGUAGGAAUGCCAACAGCAUGUUCACAUGCCCCUCAGACGGUAAUUUAGGAGGUAAUUACAUCGAUAUUGUUGAGGAGUUUAGCUCCUACCACAACAGUGGCGAUGAUGGUAUUGGUCUCACUCACAUGUCCACAACCACAGAGUGUUACAGCUUCCUUUAAAGUAGAGCAAUGAUGUUUGUAUAGUGUUACCUCAGCCUACAAGAGUCUACAUGUGGGAUCGUGUGGUGACAUGAUGCCUAAAGGUUAUUUUAGGUCUUGUUUGACAAUGGGCCCUGACUGAUAAAAAUUAAUAUGGUGAUGUUCUCAAUGUCACAUGUUUACGAUUUUAUACCUUACUUUAAUUGACCAUAUUACACCUGGGUAAUGUGUAUACCCUUUUGUAUCAGCCAACCUUAUAUAUCUAUUGCCUUGAAAUAAAAUAUGUCUUGCAUAUACAUAUAUCUUGGUUGUGUUUAUUUGAAAGAUGACAGCGACACCACAUUUUGAAAGACAAUUGAUGUGACAGUAAUUGAGAAUGAACUGCCUAUGAUCGGGUGCACAUCUAUGUGGAUUACUCAGUAGACACUGGUUCUGUGUUGCAUUCCCUGCCUUAGUUCUACGCGGCCAGGGUCCGUUAUUACCGCCAGAGGAAAUCAGAAGCUAUUUCAUUCAGCACAGGGAUCUAUCUGUGUACUGUCUAUUUAGAACUUACAAAGGAAGGUGCUACUCGCCUCCCUAUGUCAGUGAUCCUGCUGGUGUUUCCAUGUGAUAGGGUAGUGGGUUAUAUGGUAUCACUGUCGUCGUCGCUGUCCUCAUCGUCGCUGUCGUCCUGGUAGUAGUGGUAAUAACCACCACCUGGGUUUAGGUUGCUCAGGGUUGUUAGCCUCUCAGCCUGUUGCUACACAGACAACAUACGGCUCUGAACAGCAUACAGACCAUGCUGGAGGCUCGGCUCAUAAGCUGCGCACUUUGUAAGUAUACGGGAAAGCACGUUGGUAUCGUGAACCAGACAUCAAACGCUUGAUAGUACAGACACCUUGGGCUAUCCGAUAGGACCGAGAAGGGAGAUGACGAGAGCCACCGCGAGCGUGUCCAGGGAACGUAUGUUCCGUUGCGAGAAGGAGCUUGCGGAAGCUGCUUUGAAAGACAGAGGGAGCUCCUACGGAUUAGAUAUGUUUAGAACACGUGAGCUUAGUCGUCGUGAAAGGGGUCAGUCUGACAACGUGGACUACGAGCGUUACGGGUUGAUCCCUAUCCAUCGGGACGUCAACUCCUAGGCUUACAGCCAGAGAGGGAAAAUCACUUUCAUCUGGAGAAGCUCGUCCGUUAACACGGGGCGGCCCAUCUGCAGGUCCCCGCUGUUCCUCAAAGAAAGAUGAAGGAUUUGAGUUGGCCUGACGGAGAGAUCUUCCAGGCGACUCCGGCCCAUGGAGGAUGCAGAGCAUCACAUCAGAUCAAACAUUGAUAAACCAGUACUUUACCAGCGUUUUAUCAAUAUCUUUAAAGGACGGGGAGUUUUUGCCACUGAAUUCAUAUCCAAAGGAGACUUUGUUGUGGAGUACCGAGGUGAACUGCUUACACAACAGGAGGGCGAGGUCCGAGCUGAUCAGUACAAUGAUUCUGCAAAGGUGUUUCUUUUCGAUUUCCAAUGGAAAGGAAGAACAUGGUGCAUUGAUGCAUCUGAAGAAGACUCCUCCCUUGGGAGACUCGUUAAUGAUGAUCACUAAAGACUCAAUCUCAAAAUGAAGGCCAUACAAGCAAACGAUGAGCCACACUUGUGCCUCUUCGCGACUCGAGAUAUUGCAGCUGGCGAAGAGUUGACUUAUAGUUACGGUGAUUCAGACUGGCCAUGGAGAACACAGGUCAUCAAAACUGAAUUGUCGUCCAGCCCAAAACCUGCUCAUUGACGCGUUGCAGAAUGACAACUCCCAACCCUGUCAGAACAGCAUGGACACGGAUGGAUCAGAUUCCAACUUGAAAGAAGAUGCGGAGACCGUGCCUGUGUCUUCCAGCCCCAAACCCACGGUAAGAGAACUUGAAU